rfam:TPA: Bos taurus chromosome 7, whole genome shotgun sequence.
UCCCUGGUAGUCCAGUGGUUAAGACUGUGCCCUUCCAAUGCAGGGGCUGCAGGUUUGACCCCUGGUCAGGGAA